CUUAUCGAUUUUCUCGCUUUUUAAUCGCUGUGUUAUUCCAGUGUUUAUGUUAAAAACAUGACGAAAUUAGCACAAAUUUAAGUGUUGAAUAUCUCAAUUGUCAGUUUUUUACCAGAAUUCCAAAGUGACUCGUGUAAAAUUACGUUAAUUUAUUCAUAGUGCAGUCAAAAUGGCGAGAAUUGAUUGAAGACAAACACGCGAAAUACAGCAUUUGUUACUCAUCGCCCAUCGGUGUCAGUGAUGCGUUCCGAAAUCGACGUCUACACAUAACAAACCUCCAUGCAGUUUCAGAACGCAUCUUAGAGAUUGAGCGAGAUAGACAGCUGAGUUCAAAAAUAGAACGUCCGAAAUAAAAAAUGUCGGGCUCAAAGUUAGUAUCGGGUCAUACGGCGGGAGAGAAUGCCGCGUGGUGGGCGACGCCAUGGAAAACUAUGGCUGAUCUAGCCGAGGCGGUCGACGACUUGAUAUGUAGUUUCGACUAUAUGGACACAGCGAUGGAUAAUCUAGUGAUGCUUGUUUUCAUCUGGAUAAUUCUAUCCAUUGUGUUGUUGGGUAUCGCACGGUGGGCCUACGCGAAGUACGGAGCGGGCGUGAAGAAAGUAGAAGAGAAAGAGAAAAAAACUAGCGAUGAAACGAAAAAGACAGCGAACGAAAUAAUCUCGAGUGCGGACAGCAUAUUGGCGACGAGCGCUAAGAUAAAGACUGGCUCGUUCAAGCCGACGAAGCCGUCUAGCUUUGUGCCAGCAACGCCGCCGAAUAAAAAAAGAAUCGGCCGUAUGUCACCGGGUCCGGAGCAGUUGUCACUGAGGAAACACCAGAGUGUGAUAGUGCCGACUUGCACGGGGCCCGAUUCCGCGAGCGUGCAGUGGGUGAACGAGCUAUUGACGUGGUUAUAUAAUGAUUUGGUGAUCGUAAACGAACUCGUGCAGCAAUGGAUUGUGUCCAUGAACGAAUUCUCGAAGAAGUCCGUCGAAGAGCAAGGUAUUGGCGUGGAACUGGUGAGGGCUCUGGACAGCCAUCCUCCGAGCCUUAGCAAUAUCUUCUGCGAGUGUGAUUCCAGGGAUGAUGUUACGAUCACGUGCGACUGCGAGGCCACGCCAGCGUUCCAGCUCAAGGCGUUCAGUCAGCGCGGGGAGAAGGUGGAAGUAUCUCACUACAGGGUUAACGUUAACAGAUUCCGUGCUCGGCUGAAUGUCACAUGUAUAACGGAAAAAUUGACGGGAGAGCUGAAAUGCGACGGUUGGCCUGACGUCAAAGUGGCCUUAGCACCUGUCGGACCACUGAAACCCAACGCGGCUGAGAGUAAUUUACAGCAGUUAGUCAGUGAUAUAAUAGUGAGCGCGCUCCGUAACACACAACUGCAGUUCAACUUCGCGCAGUACCCCACGUGUCCGAGACUGCGGCGAUACAUGCCAGAGGCUUCGCCCCGCCUGCCCCUGCAUUAUGACUCCAUGCUCCAACAAGACAGACAUAUGUACACAUCAACACCCAACUCAACAGCAGGUUGUAUACAGUUGCUUGGUGACAAGCGAUUGUUGGUCAAGAUUGUUGCUGCGAAGGACUUGGGAGGUAAGGCGGGCUGCGUGGCGCCGUACUGCGUGGUGGAAAUGGAUGAACCCCCCCAGAGGAAUCAGACAGCCUUCAAGAAGGAUACGACGAGCCCGGUCUGGGAGGAACACUUCUUAUUUGAGCUGUCGGCACAGACGGCGGAGCUACUGUUCGAAGUGUACGACAGAACGGGCCCGCACUCGCCUGGCGACGGUUCAUUGCAACACAGGUUCUUAGGUCUAGGUCUGGUGGGCAUAGACGAACUACUAGCGGCACCGUCCCAGAGACAACAGAUCGCUCUACAGACCCGGCCUAUGGAAGAGCAUGACGUCAGCGGCAGUUUGACUGUUGAGUUCCUGUUCAUAGAGGGCGCAGACAUCCCGGAUCUGGGCUCAAAGCCGCUUAAGAUCAAGGAGAGUCUCCGGACGUUGUCACCGCAGGGUCAACUCACCACAACCACUAAGACUGUGUUCAAACAAAACGGCCACAAUAACAGUCAGCUCACUGAGUCAGCUCUUCGUGAACUGGAACUCAGCCCGAGCAACCCCAACAAGUCUACGCUUAUCAUACAUUCUGUACAGAGGGAACCCAUGAAAACAAUAAAGGUGGAACUAACAGAUUCGGGCAAAUUCAUUGAAGUAGAACGGGACGCAAACCUGAAGGAUAUUCCCGAAAAUGAAACAAAUGGUGUCAAACCUCCCGAAGUAGAAAUGGUUUUAGAAAAAGCUCCCGAAAAAAGUGGAUUGAAAUCCGCGACCGCAAGCCCUAACCAAUCUCCCGCCAAAAGUGUGAGAAUCAAGGAAAAUGGCGCCAAAACCAACGGAACUGAUGUGCAAGGAGACUACGUGAACAACGAGGAACAGCCACCAGAACCGGCGCCGAGGCAGAAGAGGAAACGAGACUUCUUUGGGACAAUUAAAAGAAGAUUAGGCAGAUCUCGAACUCGAGGGCAAUCCUUAGACCUCCAAGACACGGACUCGGAGAGCCAGAAGCUGCGAAGUAUCAGUGCAGAGAGAAAUAGCCACGAUAAAGCACUUUUACCGAGCAGGAACGUGUACUCCGCUGGGGCCUCGCCGGCACAGUCGGGAGAUGAAUCUAGGACAUCGAGAAGGUCCUCUCUCAGCGAGGUCUCCGGAUUCAGUACAGCAUCAGCCAGGACCUUCAUCCACGAAGCUUCGACUCUAGUUCUUGAAACAAUCGAGGCGGGGAUCAAGAAACAUUACCUCGUCCCUCUGACGGUCGCACAAAGAACAAGAUGGCGGAGAAAAGGCGUUAAACUGCAUAUUUACAAUGAGCACACAUUCAUCGCUAAACAUAUUAGCGGUGGUACGGUGUGCGAGGUUUGCAACAAGACAAUAGCGCGGCGUAUCGGCAAGCAAGGCUACGAGUGUCGCGAUUGUCUGUUAAAAUGUCACAAACACUGCCAUGUCAAAGUGACAGCCGCCUGUCAACAGUCCACCGUGCACAAUAUGGAGCUAUCCAUGCUCCCCGUGCUUAACGAAUAGCCAACGUGUAUGAAGACUGCAAGAAAAAAAAUAUAAAAAAAAAACUACAAAAAAACAUGCAUUCAGGGCUUACAUCUCAUCACCAUUUGCAGACAAGAAUAUAAGGAUGUUGUGAUCUAUAUUAAUUUUAUUAAAUCUUGACUAGUUAAAUAUUUUAAUAAAAAAAAGUCAACCAUUAAAUCAUCGGUCAUCAUAAAUACCUGACGAUUACUGUUUUGUAGUAAACACUGGUUUAUAGACCGACAACUACGUGCGCGACCGUCCCACGGGAUGACAGACGGUGGUGGGGACGGGGUACUAAGAUAUCAGCGGGUAGCGGCAGUCUCACGAGUUGCCCUUCCCCGAUACCCGCGCGGUCGCCCACGAAGUUGUUGUACUAUAGGUAUUUAACCCAACCAAGUUUUAUAACAUGAAAUGUUGUACCAAUUAUUUAUUGUGAAAUAUUUAUCUAGUCAGAUGUCUAAAUACACAUAUGAAGUGUUACUUAGUAUACAGCAUGACUGGUAAGACGCUUUUAAUACUCCAGGACGGUCUUAAGUGAACAAAAAAAAAUAAUAUAAAAAAAAUCGCAAAAAUCAAUUUAACCGAGAGUUAAAUAAUUUAUUACGUAACGCAUAGACACCGGGCGAAUGCACGGAUUACACGCUCAUCGUGGGGUGCGGAAGUAGGAAGGGAGAAGGUGCACAUACGGACCUGUUGCGCUUACGCAUAAUCAACGAUACAAUCGCGCAGUGGGUUUAUAUAUAUUUAUGUUAUAUUUUAUUAAUAAAUAAAGUUCUUUAUUAUAUAAUUAAAUCGAGUUUUCUCAUAAAAUAUCGUUUGCAUGUCUGACCAGUCAUACUGUAUGCAUUAUUUAUUAACUAAAAUAAACCUCGUAAUAAAACUAUGAUAUAAGUACAACACAAAUAGCUUUUUUACUUAUUCUCGAAAUAUAUUAGCUUAGGCUUAAUGUACUGUAAUAUAGGAUUACGCCUUUUACACAUAAAUGUAAUAAUAUAAUUGAAAUUAACAUGAUUUGUAUGACAUAUAGACAUUGCGAUAUACAAUUCGGUAAUUGAUUGGUAUAUACAUUUUUAAUAUAGUAUACAUCAUUACCAUUUUACUUGACCAAACAUAUAUAUAUAUAUAUAUAUAUAUAUAUAUUAUUGAUUUGAAUGUGUGCAGCUUCCUAGCAAAAUUUGCCCAGUCAAGGCGGAAUGGUCCGUUGUAAUAAGAUAUAGGUAGGUACUUAUAGAUAUAUAUCGUUGUCUAUUUUGUAUGUCAAAUAGAGCAAAUUGCUUUUUAGUUCGUCCUAACUAUUGGCUUUUAGUCUAGGUUAGCAUCGCUAGUGCCCCUCUCGAAUAUUUAAUUAUUAGCCCAAAAAAAUCCGGAUUGACAGAUGUCACUACCUCAGUGUUGCAGUCAUGAAAAAUUUGUAGUUACCAUAAUAAACCAUAGAUUUUAUUUAUUUUUUAUUUAUACUCUUGUUAUACAAUAAAUUUUAUAUAUUAAUUAUUAAAACGACAUAUAUUUAUGUUUAUUAUUUAAAAUUAAAAUUAAUUGUUUUUAAAGUACAGACUGUACUAUUAAAAUAUUUUUUUUUUUUUAUUGUUUCAUUUAUCAAUUUGAUUAGAAAUAUUAUGAAAUCAUGAUUUAAAUAUUUGUUGUAUAUACAUCUACAUAUUAAUAUCUAUACGUUAUUGUGUCUCGAAUAUAAGAAGCUAACGCACAAUUGAAUGGUGGGAAUCAAACCAUAAACACCACUUUGACAUUAAAGCAAUAAGUUAUAAAAGCGAUAGUUUUCGUUUUGUAUGUAAUGUUUUUCUGUGAAUUUGCGAAACAGAAAUAUUUGUACUUACAUAUAAUUCUAUUAUAAGUACAAAUACUACUUAUAAUUAAAAGUACUUAUUAUUAUAAGUACGCAAUAUCAUGAGUGAAGUACAAAUAUUUCAGUUUCGCUUAUCGAUGAUAUAUCAUCACAGUUUUAUUUAAUGUAAUGUGUGUUGUAAUUUUAAUGCUAGCAAAUGUGUUUUUUUUUUUUAAUAAAGUGUCGUUCGUGGUAUUUUUACUGGUGCUACGUUUACUUGCGUUGCAAUCGAAUACACAAUGUACUUAUUUAAACUACUUGUUAUUUUAAAGUCAUAAUCCUCACUUCUGGGAUUAAUUAUACAAUUUAAUAUUGUAACCAAAAUAUAUGAACGAUGCGGGAUAGGAACCCGCGACCUAUCGGAUUCCGUCCGAGCGCUCUUUCCAACUGAGCCAACCAUUCGAGAAAGCAUGGGUCGUAAAUUUUGGUAUAUAUCUUGUUCAACAACAAAGAAAUAAGUAAAUAUUAAUUUGUAUAAUUAUUUAUUAUGAAGUCGAAUUUUAACAAAAAUAAUAAAACUGCCACUAUUAUUGUGUAUGGAUUAUGGAAGGCGUCUUAUCUUGUGUUUCAAAGUGACGAGCGAUAUUGCGAUGCCGCUAAUUUGGGUUCAAUCAAGAACCCUCAACGGCACUGAACCAGCUGACAGUCUUUCUCGUCACUUUUUGCAUAAAAUAUUGUAGCCAUUUUUCAUAGUUUUGGACUUUUUUAAAGAAAAAAUUAUUUGAUUAGCUUAAGAUAACUUGGACCUUUUUUGAUUCUAAGAAAUAGUUGUAAAACGACCGAAUGACCUCUGUGUCAUUUACGUAUACACAAUGGAUUAUAUUAUAUUGAUGAUUGUUGUAUAAUUUGUGUUAUGAAAAUAAUAUAUUUAUAAUGUUGGUACUUAUUCUGUUUCUGUACUUUAUGUUUUAAUAUACAAAUGAGUUUAUAA